UACGUAGGGUGCGAGCGUUGUCCGGAAUUAUUGGGCGUAAAGCGCGCGCAGGUGGUUCCUUAAGUCUGAUGUGAAAGCCCACGGCUCAACCGUGGAGGGUCAUUGGAAACUGGGGAACUUGAGUGCAGAAGAGGAAAGUGGAAUUCCAAGUGUAGCGGUGAAAUGCGUAGAGAUUUGGAGGAACACCAGUGGCGAAGGCGACUUUCUGGUCUGUAACUGACACUGAGGCGCGAAAGCGUGGGGAGCAAACAGG
rnacentral:rRNA from 1 species